rnacentral:rRNA from 1 species
GCGAAAGCAGGUCAUAGUGAUCCGGUGGUUCUGAAUGGAAGGGCCAUCGCUCAACGGAUAAAAGGUACUCCGGGGAUAACAGGCUGAUACCGCCCAAGAGUUCAUAUCGACGGCGGUGUUUGGCACCUCGAUGUCGGCUCAUCACAUCCUGGGGCUGAAGUAGGUCCCAAGGGUAUGGCUGUUCGCCAUUUAAAGUGGUACGCGAGCUGGGUUUAGAACGUCGUGAGACAGUUCGGUCCCUAUCUGCCGUGGGCGCUGGAGAACUGAGGGGGGCUGCUCCUAGUACGAGAGGACCGGAGUGGACGCAUCACUGGUGUUCGGGUUGUCAUGCCAAUGGCACUGCCCGGUAGCUAAAUGCGGAAGAGAUAAGUGCUGAAAGCAUCUAAGCACGAAACUUGCCCCGAGAUGAGUUCUCCCUGAGACUUAGAGUCUCCUGAAGGAACGUUGAAGACGACGACGUUGAUAGGCCGGGUGUGUAAGCGCAGCGAUGCGUUGAGCUAACCGGUACUAAUGAACCGUGAGGCUUAACCUU